AUGGUAUCACCGACUCAAUGGAUCAAACUCUGGGAGAGAGUGGAGGACAGAAAAGCCUGGCAUGCCGCAGUCCAUGGGAUCACAAAGAAUCGGACACAACUUAGUGACUGAACAGCAACAACAAUUUGAUAGAACAGUUUUGAAAGCCAGACUGGGACAUUUUUAUCCCAAGUUUUGUAGGUAAUGUUGAAAAAGUGAACAUUAUUUGCAAUAUGAAAAAUAGCUAUAAUGAAUUGUGCAAGAUUAAUAGAACCAUGAAGAAUAAAUUGGAGUGUGUGGGCAGAUGGAGUGUGAGAGAUUUGUUAAAAGGUCAUUCAGUGGUUCAGCUGAGCUAAAGAGACUAGGGAAAUGAUGUUAGACAAAAAAGCAAAUUCAAGCAAUUUUCUUAUUUAAGUUCAAAAUGGAUGGUAAAGCAGCAGAGACGACUCGAAACAUCAACAACACAUUUGGCCCAGAAACUGCUAACAAAUGUACAAGGCUGUGGUGGUUCAAGGAGUUUUGCAAAGGAGAUGAGAGCCUUGAAGGUGAGGAGCACAGUGACCGGCCAUUGGACGGUGACAACGACUAACUGAGAGCCGUCAUCACAGCUGAUUAUGUGAAAAGUUGCCCCAGGACUCACCGUCGACCAUCCUAUGGUUGUUCAGCAUUUGAAGCAAAUUGUAAAGGUGAGAAAGCUCAAUAAGUGGGUGCCUCAUGGGCUGACCCAAAAUUGAAAAAGUUGUCGUUCUGAAGUGUCUUCUCUUAUUCUACACAACAAUGAGCCAUUUCUCAAUCGGAUUAUGAGGUGUGACAAAAAGUGGAUUGUAUACAACAACCAGUGAUGACCAGUUCAGAGGUUGGACCGAGAAGUUCCAAAGCACUUUCCAAAGCCACACUUGCACCAAAAAAUGUAACUUGGUGGUCUUCUGCCAGUCUGAUCCGCUACAGUUUUCUGAAUCCCGGUGAAACCAUGACAUCUGGGAAGUAUGCUCAGCAAAUUGAUGAGAUGCACCAAAAACUGCAGCCCCUGCAGCCGGCAUUGGUCAACAGAAGGGGCCAAAAUAUUCUCCACGACAACACCUGACCACGUGCGGUACAGCCAACGCUUCAAAAGUUGAAUGAACUGGGCUGUGAAGGUUUGCCUCAUCUGCCAUAUUCACCUGAUCUCACCCACCGACUGCCACUUGUUCAACCACCUUGACAACUUUUUGCAGGGAAAAUGCUUCCACAGCCAGCAGAAUGCAGAAAAUGCUGUCCAAGAGUUCACUGAAUCCUGAAAUAUGGAUUUUUAAGUUAAAAGAAUAAACAAACUUAUUUCUCAUUGGCAAAAAUGUGUUGAUUGUAAUAGUUCUUAUGCUAAUUAAUAAACAUGUGUUUGAACCUA